GGCCCAAACUUGAAGUUAAGUAGAUUGGAAGGAUCAUCUGACUCUACUUAACUACUCUACUUUGAGUUUGUGCCC
rnacentral:pre_miRNA from 1 species